CUCAAAGCUAAGAGAUCACUGAGCUCACUAGCUGAAUAAAUAACAGGUACAUUUAAACCCAGUGGGAGUUUCCCCCCCAAAGAGGGACAAAGGACCCCCUGCUGAUCCUCUACCUAAUCACAUGAGCCAAGAUGUGAAAGUGGGUGUGGGUCCUAAUCAGCCAGAGUUUCGGGUGAGCUCAUUGUGAAACCUGGCCCCACCCUAUCAUGUGAUUUCCUGAGGUCAGAUGGCCCAGGAUGUGAGUGGGCGUUAAGGCGUCUGGGAAGGGAUCUCAAAACUGGAUUAUAGAUGGCAGACAAUUGGUGUCGUAAACCUCCUCCUCUGUUUUUUUAAAUCUGGGACUCUCCACCACUGACCCUUAGAACUGAAGAAGCUUCUCGGAUGAGAGGUGAAACGUCUUCAAGCAACUCAAAGAAGUCCAGACGCUUUUCUUUCCAAGCUCCUUAGUCUACGAUGACCUGGAUGACUGAGAACCUUCACAGACAACAGUUUCCCAGCAUGCCUCAGGAGUGGAGGUGUAUGAGGGGGCGGAGUCUGUCCUGCUGCCCUGUCAGGUACCAGCUGAUGCUUCCAGGAGCUCCACAGCAGCAGUGUGGGACCGUGAGGAGCUCAGUAACCCAACAGUUCACCUGCGUAGGCAGAAAAGUGACAAUCUUUAUGACUGUGAUGAUCUUAGUGGUCAGAAUGAUCGUUACAAACAUCGAACAUCAAUGAGAGUCGACGCUCUGCAGACUGGAGACCUCAGCCUCACUCUGAGGAAACCCACAGUCUAUGACAGUGGAACCUACACCUGCACCACUCGCAGGGCUGGAGAAGAUCUGAGCAAAACUGUAGUACAGCUGAAGGUCAAAGGUCAGUGGACAGAAGUCAGAUUUAUGUGAUUUCAUACAAACAUGUUGAUGAUGUUCAUGUCUCCUGUGUUUAUGUUACAGAACCUCCUCCAGUCUGGCCCAUAGUCCUCUCAGCUGUGCUGGUCACUCUGAUCAUCCCGGCUGCUGCCUUUGGUCUGUGUGUGUGCUGUGCAUUUAUAAGGAAGAAGAGGAGUGACGGAGGUCGGGGAGCAGACCUGUGGAGCUGUGGGGGUGACAGCUGAGACGGAGCGUCUACCUCUGCUUUUCAGGCCUGUUUCUGCUGACUGCUGCAGGUGUGUGUGUGCUGCUGCUGUCCUCUCUGGCUGUUCCUACAGGUGAGUUGAUGAUAAGGAAAAAACACUAAUAAAUGAAAGAGGAGGAGGGAGGAAAGUCCUCCUCCCUCAUUAGAGGAGCUCUGACAAGAUGCAGCAGGGCAAAUGUUGUCAGUCUGCGUCACCUUUUAGAUAAUUUAGGUAGAUUUACAUAAAGCACCUUGAGGUUGUUGUGAUUUGGUGCUAUAUAAAUAAUAUUGAAUUGAAUUUUAGAUCUCCCUCAUGUUUGGUCCUGGGGUCAUGCAGUGUAAUGUUCUCAGAGCUUUUCUGGCAUUGCUGUGUGACAGGAUGACUUUUCUUGCACACCCACCACAUGAG
ensembl:lncRNA